UACGUAGGGAGCGAGCGUUGUCCGGAAUGACUGGGCGUAAAGGGCGCGUAGGUGGCCUAUUAAGUUAGGAGUGAAAGUCCCGCUUUCAAGGUGGGAAUUGCUUUUAAUACUGGUAGGCUUGAGUGUGGGAGAGGAUAGCGGAAUUCCCGGUGUAGCGGUGAAAUGCGUAGAGAUCGGGAGGAACACCAGUGGCGAAGGCGGCUAUCUGGACCAAGACUGACACUGAAGCGCGAAAGCGUGGGGAGCAAACAGGAUUAGAUACCCUGGUAGUCCACGCUGUAAACGAUGGAUGCUAGGUGUGGGAGGUAUCGACCCCUUCCGUGCCGCAGUUAACACAAUAAGCAUCCCGCCUGGGGAGUACGGCCGCAAGGUUGAA
rnacentral:rRNA from 1 species